CAUCACUGUCUGUGAGUGAAUUAAACAAGUGUGCAGUGUUGCAUUUUUAUCUUUUGUAACCGUCGGGCACUUUGGCUUUUAAUCACAUUUUAGACCAACAUCAAGUAAAAUAAGGCAUUAAGGUAUUUUGAGUUUAGGGAAGGGACUUACUUUUUCUCUUAGUUUCAUUUCCCAGGAACCCACAAUGGCUGCUGAAGAGAGACAGGGAAAGAGGGUCGAGUUCUUGGAAAAAGACCCCUUCAGGGAAAAAGCUUUCAUAAUCAUUGAAGAAAUGGUGGAAAUGGAAAAGCAAACAGAGGGCAAUUCAGCGUUGGUAGACGAG